ACAAUGGAGAGUGCUAGUGUGGUGUCACAUGGUGCAACAUGGCUCAGUGUUGUGUGAAACUAAGAGUCCCUGGUUUCUAGUACGGUGCCUGACAGAUAGAUGACUUUCUUUAUAUGUUGCUGAAGACAGGCAGAGAGGAAGAAAGGAAGAGAGGAUAAAGGGAGGAAUAAACUUGAUAUAAGCAUCUUUGCAUAAUUAACAACUGGGUCAAAUUUUCUUCAUUUCAUUGAGAUUCUUGAUACAAGCCUCUGCUGAUGAAUUGGAUUCCAAAAAGGUUAAUCGUCCUCGAAGAGAGAGAGAAACAAAAGAAAAAUGAAAAAAGGAAAGAAAUUUUCUCCACAAAGACUCAGAAAAGCUACAAUCCUAAGAAGUCAAAACUAUAAUCGGCUUGAGUUGAAGAAUCCAAGGAUCUUUACAGUUUUGUGACCUGUCCAAGGUUACACAGCUCACCUUUUCAUUUUGCACUGGGCCCAAGUUAUGUAGCCAGCCUGCUUAGAGAUCUCUACUUACCCCAGUUUUCUGAUUUAUAAAACAAAAAUAAUAAUAAUAUUGUUAAAUUAAAUGAAGCCUAAAGCUG
ensembl:lncRNA LINC02401 long intergenic non-protein coding RNA 2401